GGCUCAGUAGCUUAGUUGGUAAAGCGCUCGUCUAGCAUACAAGAGUCCUGGAUUCAAAUCCCAGCCGAGCAC
rnacentral:tRNA from 1 species